GGGGAAGUAGCUCAGCUGGUCAGAGCAGCAGACUCAUAAUCUGUCAGGUCGUGGGUUCGAGCCCCACCUUCCCCACCA
rnacentral:tRNA from 1 species